rnacentral:lncRNA from 1 species
AUCAUAAAGUAUAGAACUAUUAUAAUUUUUAAACCCAUAAGCUUGUAUGUUAGGUGACCAUGAACAUUUGUGAAAAAUAAAAUGAAAAAAGAACUAAGAAGACAACUCGUCUAUGUCUUACCAUAGCGUGCUGCAGCUUGGGCUUUGAUAUCACACCAUGGCCCAACAUAGACAAACAUCCAUUGGAGGAUAGGGACAAGGUCACGCGGCCAACACACAACGUUUGAAUUUGUCCCACCCCAUGAAGCUAAAGCAAGCGCACUUACAUCAAGCUUUAUAUAAAGGAAGGCUACACCGAGAAGACUGUCCACUUCUAAUCCAUCUGCUCGCUCCUCGC